CACAUCAGUGUAAAGGGUAGAAUGGCCUUGU
rnacentral:piRNA from 1 species